UACGUAGGGACCAAGCGUUGUUCGGAUUUACUGGGCGUAAAGGGCGCGUAGGCGGCGUGUUAAGUCACUUGUGAAAUCUCUGAGCUUAACUCAGAACGGUCAACUGAUACUGUGCGGCUAGAGUGCGGAAGGGGCAACUGGAAUUCUUGGUGUAGCGGUGAAAUGCGUAGAUAUCAAGAGGAACACCUGCGGCGAAGGCGGGUUGCUGGGCCGACACUGACGCUGAUGCGCGAAAGCUAGGGGAGCGAACGGG
rnacentral:rRNA from 1 species